rnacentral:rRNA from 1 species
UACGUAGGUGACCAGCGUUGUCCGGAUUUACUGGGCGUAAAGAGCGCGCAGGCGGUCGUUCAAGUCGAGUGUGAAAGCCCCCGGCUCAACUGGGGAGGGUCACUCGAUACUGAUCGACUUGAAGGCAGGAGAGGGAAGCGGAAUUCCCGGUGUAGUGGUGAAAUGCGUAGAUAUCGGUAGGAACACCAGUGGCGAAGGCGGUCUCCUGGGGCAUUCUUGACGCUGAGGCGCGAAAGCUGGGGGAGCGAACGGG